rnacentral:rRNA from 1 species
ACGGGGUGCAGCAGGCGCGAAAACUUUGCAAUGUGCGAAAGCACGACAAGGUUAAUCCGAGUGGUUUCUGCUAAAGGAACCUUUUGUUAGUCAUAGAACCACUAAUGGAUAAGGGGUGGGCAAGUUCUGGUGUCAGCCGCCGCGGUAAAACCAGCACCUCAAGUGGUCAGGAUGAUUAUUGGGCCUAAAGCAUCCGUAGCCUGCUUUGUAAGUUUUCGGUUAAAUCCAUACGCUCAACGUAUGGGCUGCCGGGAAUACUGCAAAGCUAGGGAGUGGGAGAGGUAGACGGUACUCGGUAGGAAGGGGUAAAAUCCUUUGAUCUAUUGAUGACCACCUGUGGCGAAGGCGGUCUACCAGAACACGUCCGACGGUGAGGGAUGAAAGCUGGGGGAGCAAACCGGAUUAGAUACCCGGGUAGUCCCAGCUGUAAACUAUGCAAACUCGGUGAUGCAUUGGCUUGAUGCCAAUGCAGUGCCGCAGGGAAGCCGUUAAGUUUGCCGCCUGGGAAGUACGUACGCAAGU